CAGAGAAUAGUUUAGUUUAGAAUUCUAGCUUUGGGAGUUAGAGGUGGAAGUUAAAAUCUUUCUUUU
rnacentral:tRNA from 1 species